rnacentral:tRNA from 1 species
GCCCGGGUGGCGGAAUUGGCAGACGCGCCAGGUUGAGGGCCUGGUGGGGUUCAUACCCCGUGCUGGUUCGAGUCCAGUCCCGGGCA